CAGAAAAUUGUCUGUUGCUUUUGAAAAAGUGGAGUUUCCCUGUGUGUUUGACAUCUUCUUGGUGAAAGGUGAUGAGCCUGUGAAGUUACCUGGCUUUCUGCUAUGCAAACUUUGCAAGCUUCUUAAAAUGCUUCUGCUCAGCAUCUGACUUUUUAAAAACUGCAUAAAUACUCUGACCCAGAUUCUUCCAAGGAAAGAAAAUCUUCCUUGGGAAGCUUGUUAACCCUUUCUGGCUUCCCUCCAGAUCUAUGAGAGCCAGUGACUUCCUCUAUUAAACUCUUCUAUGACAUUGAAUGCUGUCUGCUCUUGGGCCCUAAUUAACUAACCAGGUAUACCACCCACUGUCCCUUCCAGCCUAAGAACCUUUUUUUCUCUCCCAUUUCUGUCCUCUCCUUGGAAUUUGGCACCCCAAAGGUGCGUGGAGAAUGUUGAACAUAGUCAAGUUAUGGUCUCACUGCAGUGCCUAAAAAAGCCUCACUGGUCAAAUAGUUAAUCAACAACUCGUUUAUUGCCACUUUAGGAGUGCUUACACUGGUAGAAUGAGCAAAUAGUUUAAACACACACACAUAUUUUCAGAUAGUUGGUCAAAAUUUUGCCAUGAAUUUGUUUCUAGGCCAGAUAAACAAACCAACCAACCUAUGACAUCCUAGCCCUCAUCCCAGGCAUUCAAGAAGAAAGUCUCCUUGCAGAUGUGCUCAGAGACUAUUUUUCAGCAUUUUUAUCCUGGGCAGUGAAAAUAGCACCAACAGGAGACUCUCUACACCUUCUCAAAUGGAAAACCAAGUUCCUACACUCAAGAUAAACCUUUUCAGUUUGGAAAGCUCUUCUUAGAAAAAGUCUUCAUUUUUCCAUCUUCCUUGUCCCCUCCCUGCUCCAAAGCACAGAGAAAAUUUAAACUUUUUCUUCAGAGGAUGUCUCUUCUUUGAUCCCACUUUGAGACAAGCAAGACACCAGGAAUCUUGCUCACUGUCUCAUGCCCAAUAGAUGCAAUCAGGGGCUGCUGUGUUUGUCUCCUCCCUUUCUGCCCCAUGAAGGGUUAUUUUUCUCUAUCUUAUUGCAUCACCUGUUUACUUUAAACCAUAAAACAAAUAACCACAUCUCUAGUGAGACUCCCCUUUGUCCCUGGGUAUCAUAAUGGUCUGUGGGUUUGGUUUAAAGCUAAAGAAAGGAGAAAGAGCGAGAGAAGAAGAAAAAAGAUUCCUUGCAGCCUGCCAGGGACGUGGUAGCUGCCCUGCCAAGGGCUAUCCUGGGAAGGCUAUUGAAAGAGCUUUGAAUAAGAGUCCGUAUGCACUCACGGCAACAGAGCUCACCACAGGGAUUUCUGACCUUAAAGUUCAUGGAUAAACCCCCAGGGAGCCUGUGAAGGCCCUGAAAUGGAAUUCUUUCCAUGCAGAAGUUUAAUAAAUACUUUUUGAAUCAAUGAACAAAUGCCUCAUUCCCCCCGCCCCAAGGAGAGUGUCCAUAGCAUUUAGCAGAAUCUCAAAGUUUUUUGUGACCCAGAAAGGUUGAGGAAGCUGAUGGAGGCUAUCUACGCCUACCUAUAAGUGGGUACUCUUAAGGCCCAGAGAGGGCCAGACAUUGGUUCACGCAGCACAGGGCCAGA